rnacentral:sRNA from 1 species
GCUGGGUGGGGAGGUGCAUGCCUGUAAUCCCAGCCACUCAGGAGGCUGAGGCAGGAGGAUCAUGAAUUCAAAGCCACCCUCAGCAAUUCAGCAAUUUAAUGAGGCCCUAAGCAACCUAGUGAGAUCCUGUCUCUA